rnacentral:rRNA from 1 species
UACGUAGGGUGCAAGCGUUAAUCGGAAUUACUGGGCGUAAAGCGUGCGCAGGCGGUUGUGUAAGACAGAUGUGAAAUCCCCGGGCUCAACCUGGGAACUGCAUUUGUGACUGCACAGCUGGAGUGCGGCAGAGGGGGAUGGAAUUCCGCGUGUAGCAGUGAAAUGCGUAGAUAUCGGGAGGAACAUCAGUGGCGAAGGCGGCCUUCUGGUCCAGUACUGACACUCAAGCGCGAAAGCGUGGGGAGCAAACAGG